AGGCUGUGGUUCUCUUGGUCCUUGGGACCUCUUCUUACACAGUCUUCAGGCACAAGUCCCCAAAGCAAUGGAGCCAACCAACUGUGGAUGAAAGCCUCUGCAACCACAGACAGAAAAGGCUGCUGGCUUCACAGACAGGGAGCCCUGUUGACUCUGGCAAGAGUGGAUGAUGCUAUCU